rnacentral:misc_RNA from 1 species
CAUAGCGGCCGCAGACGACUUAAAUACGCGACGGGGUAUUAUAAGUGGCAGAGUGGCCUUGCUGCCACGAUCCACUGAGAUUCAACCCUUUGUCGCUCCGGUUCGUCCCUCCCCAUCCAAUCCAACCAUUUUUCCGCCAAUCUCCAAAGGAGGUUUGUGCAACCGUCCUUGAAAAAUCCCACCAAGUGUUGAGAGUUCACCUCACCCGAGUUAGCCUCUUGUCUUUCAAGCGUCGCGUGCGUCCCAUUCCAAACAGUUAAGCAUACGAUUUCAAGUGACCUUUCGCGAAAAACAACGACAUCGCAACUGGACAUUUUCUGCGAUGCGAAGUGCGCCAUAAGUGCUCAGCGAUGACGAACGCCGACGGACAUAUAGUGCCCUGCCAUGGUGGCACCAUAGCACCGUAGCACCAACGCACCGUGGCACCAUGGAACCAUGGCACCGUAGCACCAAGGCACCGUGGCACCAUGGCACCAAGGCACUGCAGCACGGCGCCACGGCACCAAGGCACCGUGGCACCUAGGCAUCGUGGCACCGUGGCACCAACGCACCGUGGCACCAUGGCACCAACGCACCGUGGAAGCAAGGCACCAAGGCACUGUGGCGCCGUGGCACCAAGGCACUAACGCACGAUGGUCCUUGCAAACGACAGUCGCGCUCACCUUGAAUCCGUCUGCGCCCUCACAGGCAGGCCGGGCUCAUGCGACGCUAGCGUCGAUGAGGAAUGCUACCUGGUUGAUUCUGCCAGUAGUCAUAUGCUUGUCUCAAAGAUUAAGCCAUGCGGCCGCUAUG